UAGUCUGUGAAAUGAAAUAGCACAAAUAUUUCAUUCCUUUUUUAUAUAUCAUGGUAUAUAGAAAAACACAUACUGAUGUACAAUAAUAGUUAUAGUCAUUAAAUUAUAGUUUUUACCUUUUUUGAGUUUAGGGCAAGAAAUAUAGAAGAUAAAGAAAAAUAUAAACAAUUACAACCAUGACAACUGUACAGUAGAAAUGAUCGGCAAAACAACAUAAACAGAAGACAACAAGGCCUAAAUGGUGAGACUUCUUGGUUUUCAUGAUCAUCAACAGGUCAAUACAGAAGAGGAAACUUAAGGUUAAUAGUUUUCUACAUUGUGUGCUAAUUGGAUUAAUGUGAAAUGAAAUGUGUGCUUACCUGGAAAAAGAAAAUAGGAAAUUUCUACAAAAUGGCUGUAAACAAAAUGGAGUACAAUCAUAGAUGCACAAGAACACAAUUGUGUAAUUGCAACAACCUACAUAUUCACUGAAGGAUUAUGGAGAAAUGUAGAAAAAAUAGUAUUUUGUUGUCGAAAUAAACACCUGCUUUAUCCAUUCAUGUACAUAGCUCUGUCAUAUCAAAUAUACAGAGGAAGACGUUUGAAGAACAAAUUGCAAAAAUGUAUUCUUUACCAAUUGAAGGAAGAUGUCUGGUGGAUGUAAUUAUUUAUUCACUGAACUGUUAUGUAGGGGAUUGAAUAAUUGUACGCAGUAGCCUAAACAGAAGAAAAGUUAAAUUAACAUGAAAAGUGGUUAUUUAUUUAAUCUGCAAAUAUGAGCACAAUAUUAAUAACAUCACAAAUAGUAUGAUAUUCAUAGCGUUUUGCUUGUUAUUGUAUUGUCUCAAACAGCUAGCCUAUUGUUUUUGUAUGUCAUGUUACUCAUCAGUGAACAUUUUAUUAAAGUUUUAAUUAUC